GGAGAAUCAGAUCCCCUCGCACUUGCCUGCCUGCCCGUCGCUCCGGCACGUCGCCAGCCUGCGGGGCAGCGCCAUCAUCGAGCUCUUCCACAGCAGCAUUGCUGAGGUAGCGGCCCGGGUGUGGGUGCCGGCUAUGGCACGGCCAGUCCUGAGGACGAGGCCAAGCUUGGCUUCAGGUCAGCCUCAGGUCCCUGGACUUCCCUGAUGUCGGAGUCCUCAGCUGAGCUGCUCACGGCUUUGAGGACCUGGGCAGUGAGGUCCUGAGUUGCCCUCCCCUGGCCAUUUGUGCUGUGUCACCACCUCCUGUGCCACUUCCAGCCCCAGGUAGACCCCCCCAACAGCCAUCUCCCACCCCUCUCUUCCUCUCUGCCUUGAAGCAUACGGAUUCAUUGGUGAGCCAAGAGGGGCUUCCCAUGUCUCCUUGUGGAAGCUGCGGGCAUGUCCCUGGUAUGUGCAGGUUGCUAGGGUGGUGGAGCUGACAGGAGGCCCCCCGUCUCCAGGUGGAAAACGAGGAGCUGAGGCAUCUCAUGUGGUCCUCGGUGGUGUUCUACCAGACCCCAGGGCUGGAGGUGACCGCCUGCGUGCUGCUCUCCACCAAGGCUGUGUACUUUGUGCUCCACGACGGCCUCCGCCGCUACUUCUCAGAGCCACUGCAGGAUUUCUGGCAUCAGAAAAACACCGACUACAACAACAGCCCUUUCCACAUCUCCCAGUGCUUCGUGCUAAAGCUUAGUGACCUGCAGUCAGUCAAUGUGGGGCUUUUCGACCAGCAUUUCCGGCUGACGGGUUCCACCCCGAUGCAGGUGGUCACGUGCUUGACGCGGGACAGCUACCUGACGCACUGCUUCCUCCAGCACCUCAUGGUCGUGCUGUCCUCUCUGGAACGCACGCCCUCGCCGGAGCCUGUUGACAAGGACUUCUACUCUGAGUUUGGGAACAAGACCACAGGUACUCCUGUCUAGCUCAGGCUGCAGACAGGCUGCCUGGACAGACGUCACAGGCCCCAGGGUGG
rnacentral:sRNA from 1 species